CGGGGAAAAAAGACCCUGUUGAGCUCGACUCUAGCCUGGCAUGGUGAAGAGACAUGAGAGGUGUAGAAUGAGUGGGAGGCCCCACGAGGGGGUGGGGAGGGGGGCACGCCGGCCUUGUGGGCCACCGGUGAAAUACCACUACUCUGAUCAGUUUUUCACUGACCCGUGAGGCGGGGGGGUCAGGGGGUGGGGGAAGGUGGAGCCCCAAGGGGCUCUCACUUCUGGCGCCAAGCACCCGGCGGCUGCGUGCCAGCUGGGCGCAACCCGCUCCGGGGACAGUGCCAGGUGGGGAGUUUGACUGGGGCGGUACACCUGUCAAACAGUAACACAGGUGUCCUAGGUGAGCUCAGGGAGGACAGAAACCUCCCAUGGAGCAGAAGGGCAAAAGCUCGCUUGACCUUAAUUUUCAGUAUGAAUACAGACCUUGAAAGCAGGGCUUCACGAUCCUUCUGACCUUCUGGGUUUUAAGCAGGUGUCAGAAAAGUUACCACAGGAAUAACUGGCUUGUGGUGGCCAAGCGUUCAUAGCGACGCCACUUUUUGAUCCUUCCUAGUCAAUCUAUAAAAGUGGCUUCAGCUCA
rnacentral:ncRNA from 1 species